rnacentral:rRNA from 1 species
AGGGCAUGUGCGACGGGUGAGUACGCGUGGAACGUGCCUUUCACUACGGAAUAGCUUUUGGAAACGAAAGGUAAUACCGUAUACGCCCUCCGGGGGAAAGAUUUAUCGGUGAAAGAUCGGUCCGCGUUAGAUUAGCUAGUUGGUGAGGUAAAAGCUCACCAAGGCGACGAUCUAUAGCUGGUCUGAGAGGAUGAUCAGCCACACUGGGACUGAGACACGGCCCAGACUCCUACGGGAGGCAGCAGUGGGGAAUAUUGCACAAUGGGCGCAAGCCUGAUGCAGCCAUGCCGCGUGAAUGAUGAAGGCCUUAGGGUUGUAAAAUUCUUUCGCUAGGGAUGAUAAUGACAGUACCUAGUAAAGAAGCCCCGGCUAACUUCGUGCCAGCAGCCGCGGUAAUACGAAGGGGGCUAGCGUUGUUCGGAAUUACUGGGCGUAAAGCGCACGUAGGCGGACUUUUAAGUCAGAUGUGAGAUCCCGAGGCUCAACCUCGGAACUGCAUUUGAAACUGGGAGUCUAGAGAUCAGGAGAGGUUAGCGGAAUACCGAGUGUAGAGGUGAAAUUCGUAGAUAUUCGGUGGAACACCAGUGGCGAAGGCGGCUAACUGGACUGAUACUGACGCUGAGGUGCGAAAGUGUGGGGAGCAAACAGGA